rnacentral:rRNA from 1 species
AUGCUCGGCCUCCCCAACGACCUCCUCGCCACCGUCGCCCGGGACGUCGCCGCCGCCGAGCACAACGUCUCCCACUACGUCUCCGACUACGGCGUCGACAUCCGGUACGUACACGUUCGUGGCCGUGGGCAACGAGCCGUUCCUCAAGUCGUACAAGGGCCAGUUCGAGGCGGCCACGCUCCCGGCGGUGCGCAACGUGCAGGCGGCGCUCGUCAAGGCCGGCCUGGCCCGCCAGGUGCGCGUCACCGUGCCCCUCAACGCCGACGUCUACGAGUCGCUCGACGGCCGCCCCUCCUCGGGGGACUUCCGCCCGGACAUCACCACCCUCACCACAACGUGCAGGCGGCGCUCGCCCAAGUACUUGUCGAGCGCCACUGGGGCGUCUUCAACUACGACGGCUCGCCCAAGUACGCGCUCCGCCUCGCCGGCGGCAAGGGCAUCGUGCCGGCCAAGGGCGUGAAGUACCUGUCCAAGCAGUGGUGCGUGCUCCGGCCCGACGCCAGCCCCACCGACCCGGCCAUCGUGGGCGCCGUCGGGUACGCGUGCCAGUACGCCGACUGCACCAGCCUCAUGCUGCGGCGGCCUUGA